AUUCUCCUGCCUCAGCCUCCGGGGUAGCUGGGACCACAGGCAUGUGCCAUCAUGGCGUCCUUGGUGUUACCUAAAAAUAAAGCCAAGGGUGAUCAGAAGGUAAUCACCUCCUGGUCAUGCUCCCACUGGUCACCAGUGUCCGCGGGGCGACCCCACAUUGUGAUCAGAGCAGGCCUGUGGCUGCGCUCAAGGCGGGAGCGUUCAUAGCUUUCCUAGCGGGGGCCCUGCGGGACGCCCAGGCCGCGCUUCUUUCCCUUGCUCACCUGGACCUGAAGUGAUGGGGGAGGUGUAACAAUGCAGUGGGAAUGCCGAAGUGUGUCUCAGCCGUGCCUUUCACAUUCCAAACAAUGCAAAAGCUUGAAGAAAACCUCAGCAGUUGAAACCGUGAUGCAGUUCAGCAAAGAAGUAGCUCCUGUCCUGGUAAAACAGUGAAGUUCUCACGGACGACCUCAUUGAAUCCCUUCCGUAGCUGUCAUACAGAGUGUGAUUUAUGACUUGUAAGUUGUGCUAUGGAGCUUGACAAGUAAGUUUGAUUUCAUUUAAUAUUUUCUUUAAACCAUCUUAGAUCUUCUCUUUGACAAGUAUUUCAUCUAUUACUGUUCUCAAAAUGUAAAAUGGGUAAGUUAAUGAGAACAAAAAUUGUGCCCUAAGAUAUAUUUGCAUUAUUUACAUAUUUGCAAUUAAAUCUUAACAGAUUUAAUUGUAAUAGAAUCUAACAGUUUUCCUCUUGAAAUUUUUUAGACACCAGAAAUUUUUAUUCCUAAUAAAUAAUGUUUAUCUUCCUAGUCACAAACCAAACAGAAAGCAAAUUUCAUCAGAGUUUAGAAUGGUUAAAACCAACAUAGCUGCAAUAUUUUUAUUUUUGUUUUAAAAUUUUGUUUAAUCAGUAAAUCAAUCAGAGUUGACCAUUAUGUAAUCCACAGACCUUGAAAUAACAGAUAUAUUUCUCUGCAGAUCAAUAUCUAUAUACAUUUUUAAGAUGAGUAGAAAUUCUCCUGAAGGUCAUAAAGAAAAAGUAUGUCACAUAAUACAGUAAAUAAAAAUAAUAAUUGUUAUUAAUUUUUUCUGCUUAUUAUGUUCCAGAAUCUGUACUAAGCAUUUUAGAGGAUUAUUUUAUUUAAUUCCCACAAUAAUCCCUUGAGAAAUAUACUACAGUUAUUAUCUUUAAUUCACAGUUACUGAAAAUGAGACACAAAGAGGUUAAGAAUUUUGUCCAAGGUCAGGCAGCUAGCGUGACUUAGCAAGGGUGUAAUUAAGAAAAAAUAUGUUUUUCUUAUCUUAUGGGAAAUUUGGAAAAGCAAAUAUCUACAUUCUCUUUUUAAUUAAAAAAUAUAAAAUAUAAAAUGUGAGUCUCUCUUAAAGCAGCGAAUCAACUUUAAUUAAAUUGAAACAAUACACAAUCCUUUGUUGUUCAGGCUCUAUAUUAUUAUUAUCUCUGCUGACAGCAAAAGCUAAGAAUAGAAAAUAUUUCUGAUCCAAGUUGGUAAAUUAUGAAUCAACCUGCUAAAGAAUCAGAAUAGACUAACAAAUGGAAUUAAAUGUGAUUAUUGUAUAUUACAUAUAUAAUAUAAAAAUUUCUUAUUGUUAUAGUUUUACUAAGAUUCUACCAGUUUCAACUCAAAUAUAACAUUUAAAAUCCAAGCUUAAUAAAAGAACUUGGCAUGAGAUGUUUUCAUAGGAAAUAGUGACAAUUCAUAUUAUUUUUAAUUAAGUGUAAAUGAGAUGUAUUAUUUCUGUAUUUCAUUUUCCUUCUAAAAGUUAUCUUUAAAGUUUUUUUUCUUUCUUUUUUUCUUUUUCUUUUUCUUUUCUUUUUCUUUUUUUUUUUUUGAGACGGAGUCUCGCUCUUUCGCCCAGGCCGGACUGCAGUGGCGCGAUCUCAGCUCACUGCAAGCUCCGCCUCCCGGGUUCACGCCAUUCUGCUGCCUCAGCCUCCCGAGUAGCUGGGACUACAGGCGCCCGCCACCACGCCAGGCUAAUUUUUUGUAGAGACAGGGUUAUUUUUUGUAUUUUUAGUAGAGAUGGGGUUUCACCAUGUUAGCCAGGAUGGUCUCGAUCACCUGACCUCGUGAUCCGCCUGCCUCAGCCUCCCAAAGUGCUGGGAUUACAGGCGUGAGCCACCCCGCCCGGCCUAAAGUUUCACUUUUUCUGAAGUUGAUAGCUAUUACUAACUGUUUUGAGCAAAGUUUUUUGAGAUAGAUUAAUUUAUAAAAUUAGGAAGAAACUAAAGUAGUUGCGAAAGUUUCUAAAAAGAUAAUAAAGUAGUUGUCUCUAUGUUAUAAUAGAAAAUGAGAAUGUGAAUGCAGAUCAUUUUGAUUCUCAGAGUUUGUGUUUUCAGCAAAUAUUACCUGAAUAUUGAUAUAUAAAUUAGAAUUCCCCAAAGGAAAACAUUUAAAAAUGUUAAAAUUAAUAAAAUCAUUAACUUACAUACUUGUCCUUAGUAUCAGGACAAUCUCCAGUGGAUUCAACAGAGCAUCUGCAGUUUUGUUGAACAAAGUCUAUAUUCUGCAAUAUAGACUCAUGGUGUGAGCUUACUGGUCACAUUCUUUGUUCCUUCUUGGAGCUUUGGGAGGCAUUUAUAAAAGAGCUGCUGCAGUAGAAGGACUGAGUUGUAUCACCCUGAGGAUUUAAGUUUCUAUGGAGAGAAUCAAAUUCACUUUAGUAUAGGGAUUUAGUAGGUUUCCCUAGCCUUAUUAAUAAAAUACUAGUACGACAUGAAAAAUGCAUACUUUGUCUUAAAAUAAUCCAAUUAAGACACUAUUUUUGCAUAGCAAAAUUCUUUACCAAACACCAGUUGCAAAUCAAGUGAAACUGCUUUGGCAAGAGGUGAUCAUAACGCUCUCCUACUCCUGCCCUUUCCUCCUACUCCAGCUGAAAAUACUUGCUGCAAAUGUCCUUUUAUAGGAGACUUUGACUCCAAGGUGUAGAAAAGGAAAGGAAAAGGUCAGAUAUAUAUGUCUUGUCUAUAACUGAAACCUAAUACCAGCACAAAAGCCUAAAAGAACCGAUGUUUAGAGGGCGUUGGCAGGAAACUCUUUGCUCUGCUAUCAUCUGUUUUAAGCUACUUUGAUACAUGAUUUAUUUUUUCAGCUUCUACUCUGCUACUAUUCAACUGCAAAUGCAAUUUGUUAUAUUGUACACUUCAACACCUUGAACAAUAUCUUAAUUAUUUUUGAAAUGUAUUACAAGUUCAUAAAGAAAACAGCAUUUUGUUUCUUCAGUCAUCUACUUUGGAUGAACGUGUUAUUUAGAAAAGAAUAAAUGGGAAAAAUGAUAUAUUAAAAAUAAAAAUUGCAUAUUAACUUUUUAGAUCAAAUAAACCAAUUUUAAGCAUUUUCAUGGACAUUUAUAACGAAAAUAGAUAAACAUUUAAAUACAGAUGAUUUAAUUCAGUAUUUUGUUUCUUGAAAAUAUUGGAAUAUGUGUUUUAGAUAAUGCAUAUAUUUCUGUUAUUGAAAAAUAAGCUUUCAAUAGUCAGCUGACUUCAUAUGUAAAUAAUAAUACCAUUUUAAACUUAUUCAAGGAUUUAGGUGUCCUUAAAUAUGAUUUUAUAACUUAUUUUACUCCCUUAAAGUAAAUAUUUAUGGCAUCUGUAAGUCAUUGUAAAAUUGUAAAACUGGCAUAGCAUAGUAUACAGAUUGUCCUUUGUAAUAUUUUAUAGUAUUCACAUUUGUAUUUAAUCACAAAUUUGAUACAAUUUAGCCAAACCUUCAAUACAUUUAUGAAGAGGGCACUAGUGAGACUUUAUACAAUGGAAUAAAAUAACAAAAUGUGCUGACAGCAUUUUUCCACUCAAAGAGGUAUAUAUAUUUUUUAUACUAUCUAAUUCUUUAACUAACUUUAUUUUUUUAGCAUCCAGUGGUGGAGAACAUUACUGGAAGUGUGAUUAAGGCUAUUAUAAGAUACAUAAACUGUAUGGCAUAAGCAUUUUCAACUCAACUUCACACUCUACAUUGUUUAUGAACUUAGUAUGCCAGCUUUUUAAGUGUGGUGGGAUCUGGUAUUCCACACUUAUAUGUCUCUGAAUCCCACCCUUGUACUGAUGCCAAGAUGAACUGAAGCAAGGAUGAAUUUUUCUCUUACAUAGAAACAUGAAUAUAUUCCGAACUGGAGUGAGCUCUCACUAGCGGUUUGCCUAUGGUGAUUACUUUGUGCCUUGUAAUGGGUCAUGUAGUAUCCUCAUAAGGGAGUGUCUGUGUCCUAGACCCUCUCCCAUUCCAGUACCUGUAAAUGUCACCUUAUUUUGAAAUAGGAGCUUUACAGAUAUAAUAAAGUUAAAGAACUCAGGGUGAGAUCAUCUGAAUUUAGAGUGAGUCAUGGGUAGUUGGGACACAGAAACACAAGCAAGGUCAUGUGAAGAUAGAGACAAAGGUUAGAGUUAUGCUGUCACAAGCCAAGGAGUGCCAGGAGCCACCAGAAGCUAGAAGAGGCAAGAAAGGAUUCUUCCCUAGAGGCAUCAGAGGAAGUAUGCCUCUGCCUCCACCUUGAUUUUGGUCUUCUGGCCUCCUAUAAUUGAGAGAGAAUUUUUUGUUUGUUUGUUUGUUUGUUUUACUAUUUUAAGCCACAAAUUUUGUAGCAAUUUCUUUUGGCAGCACUGGGAAACUAGUUAAUGCCUCUAUUAUUUGGUUAAACAAAAAACAUUAUUAAGUAUUUUUAAAACAAUGUAUAACAGUGUUGAUUAUGGUAAGCAUACAAUUUAUAAUUAGAUAGGUUUCUGUGUAAAAUUUCAUGUUACUGUAUUGAUUUGUUUUAACCACACAAGACUUGCUUGGAUGUGGUACUAUUGAAUACCAUCCCCAUUCCCUCCUGUCCCACAGCUUUUUGAAAUUUAUGGGGCUUUGUUCUAGACUGAAUAUUCCUUUUCCUUCAAAUUUCAUAUGUUAAAGCCCUGCCCCACAAUGUGACAGUAUUGGGAAGUGAGGCCUUUGAGAAUUAAUUAGGUUUAGACAAAGUCAUGAGUGUAGGGCCCUCUUCAAUGGAAUUAGUGUCCUUAUAAGAACAGGAAGAGAGUCUAUAGAGUGCUCUCUCUCUCUCUUUCUCUAUCUGCUGUUUGAGGAUACAGCAAACCGGGAAGAAGACCCUUACCAGGAAACAAAUUUGCUAGUACCUUAAUCUUGCACUUUCCAGCUUCUACAAUUGUAAGAAAUGUCUGUUGUGUAAGCCAUUCAGUCCAUAAUAUUUUGUUAUAGAAGCCUGGACUGACUGAUAUAGGCUGGAACAUGCUGGAGAGAUGGUACAAAAACUAAUUUUAGAAAAAUAUUUUAAGUUGUAAGAUCUGACGCAAAAAUCACUUAAAUAUUUCCAUUUACAUCACCAAAUUACUCCAUUUACAGUAUCAAAUUAAGGAAAUUUAUGUUUUAUUCAAGCCUUUUAAAAUCAGCACACCCACCUUGCGGAAGUAAUUAAUAACCCAUGAUUAUUAAUUAUGUUUGCCAAGUUAAUUUUCAUCCAGUAUUACUUGCAAGGAAAGUUUGAAAUUGAUGAAUCAUCUUCCUCUUGAGAUGUCACUUGUGGAACUAAAGGCUACCUAUAAUUUCUGUAAUCGUUACUCUUUAAUGGAACUUUAAACUUCUAAGAAAAAUAUUUCAAUAUAUUGUUAAAUUGACUUAAAUGACUAAGAUUGUGGUGGAGAGGAUAUUUCCCCAAACUAACUCUUUCUAUGAUACUUAGGGGUUCAUUGUAAUAGUAACACCUUGCUAGCAAUCAUCUGCUAGUGAUUUGCUCAUGGAAGAAGGCUAAGGAAAUUUAGGUUUGAUGACCUUUUUCAGGGUUUCUGGGAAAGCAAAACCUGCCUCUCUCUACCACCCACUGCAAACAAGCAUGUUGUCCAAGCUACUGCUGCCAACCAGGUCACAUCCAUUAGUGAAGUCAAUGCUGUGAAGAGAGACAUUCAAACCUGGGUCACUGAUAAUAUCAUUUUCAAUUUCUGACCCAAUCAAUUCUGGGUCUCCCAAUUCCUCUCUCCGUGGUCUUAUUGUAGUAAUACGUUUUUUAAACUGUUGAAGUCACAUUGAGCGGAAAUUUCCCUUAAUUACAACUCUUAAUAUUUUAACUAUUUAUGCUAAGUUUAUUUGUUCCAGAAAAAGUACUUUAAUUCACUUUCAUUUUUGUAGGACUUGAAUUUUUUAGGGCAGUUUCAGUUUCACAGAAAAAUUAAGAGGAAGAUAGAGAUUUACCAUAUAUAUAUAUAUAUAGUUAUAUAUAUUAUAUAUGAUAAUAUACCAUAUAUUACUAUAUAUGUCUUACAUGUAUGUGGAGGCAGGGUGUAUGUUUUUUUAUAUAUAUAAAAUAUAUAUAUACACACACCCUGACAUAAUGUGUAUAUAUAAUAUAUAUAUAAUUAUAUAUAUUAUAAAUAUAUAUUAUAUAUGUAAUAUAUCCUGCCUCCACAUGCAUGGCCUCCUUCAUUAUCAUAUCCUCCUCCAGAGUGGUACAACUGUUAAAAUUGCCUCACCUACAUUAAUACAAUUUUAUUACCCAGUGGUAAAUAUACAUAACAUAAAAGGUACCAUUUAAUCAUUUUCAAUUCUAAAACUCAGUGAUAUUGAAUACAUUCACAAUGUUGUAUAAUUAACACUGUUUUCAUAACUUUUGUAUCACAUCAAACAGAAGUUCUGUACCAUUAAGCACUAAUUCUUCAUUCCCCUUGCCCCAGCCUCCAUGCUCUGGAAACAUGCAAUCUGCAUUCCCUCUACAUGAAUUUGACUAUUCAUGAUCUUUCAUAUAAGUAGAAUCAUAUACUGUUUGUCCUUUUGUGUCUGGCUUAUUUUAUUUAGCAUAAUGUUUUCAAGGUUUAUCCAUGUUGUAAACAUGUAUCAGAACAUCAUUCCCUUUUUAUGGCUAAAUAAUAUUCCCUUGUAUGUACAUGCCACAUUUUGUUUAUCCACACAUACAGGUUUGUUUUCACUUUUUGACUCUUGUGAAUAAGAAUGAGUGAUGUUAUCUGGCGUGUGCAUGCAGCCACUUUCUUACUAAAGACCAAUAGCAUCAAGCACUCUACUAAUGGUUGUUAUUUAUCUGAUUAGGAUCCAGAGUUCCAAAAAGGUUAAUUCUUAUUUUUUGCAGUUUAAUGGCAGUUUUUGUGGAGGGACUGACUUCUAAAACUUCCAAUCUUCUAAAAUCCACUUUAAAAGAAUGGUUUAAAUUAUGUGCUUGUAGGAUGAAAUUGAUAAAAAAUUAUUUUACCAACUUUCAAAAUUGCAUCACAGAGAUAAUGUCCUUUGACUAUUGGGUGUUCACAUAUUUGGCAUGUUAUAAACAACUUUCUGGAAGAUAAAGGCCUUUUGUCUCAUACUUAAUAUUAAGACAGGAACCAGUGUGCUAGCAAUGGCUUUUGGGUUUGAUGUGAUAUAUUUGUAUGUAAUGAUUUUUUUAAAAGUUAGAGUGAAAAAUCCUCUCAUACAAAACAAAAUAGUUUUUACUGUUAUGAGAAAGCAGUCAUUAAUCACUUACAAAACAUGCAAGUAUCUUUAUGAUAUUUGGUGAUUUAUUUUUCUCCAGUCAUCUUGUGGAAAAAGUUUAGGUCUCUGAAGAUUUCUCAGUGCGUCAUAACUGACAGCAGCAGGAAUGUGGUUUUGCUAAAGGCAACAGAAAAGCAAAACUGUCUCAAGGUUUUAAUAUUAAUCCAAAGGUUAAACUUUCUUACCUUAAUGUUGCUGCUUUCUGUAUGCACAUCCCAAAGGAGGUAGGAAGGUGGAAAGGACGGAGGAAGGUAGAAAAUGUAGAAAAUUAGAAAAUUAGGUAAACUUAAAAGGUAAUAAGACUAACAUUCAUUCAUUCACAUUAAGCUCCUACCUUGUACCACAUUCUGUUGUAGGCCCUGUGGAUAUAACACAGGGCCUUUCCUUUUUUCCUGUGAAAAAAAGGAAAGAAAAAAAUAUAUGCCUUUUUGGAGCUUACAUUCUCUUGGAAGGAGAUAUAUAAUAACAUAAAAAAUUAAACUAUAUAAUAUGUUAAGUGUUGCUAAGUGCUAUGGAGGAAAGUAAAGCAGACAAAGCAAAUAAAGAACACGAGAAGGAGAUACAAUUUUAAGUAGGGAAAUAAGGAAGGCAUGACAGAGACAGUAGCAUUUGAGUGAAAGACUUGAAGAAGGUGAUGUGGUUUGACUGGGUCCCCCACUAAAUCUAAAGCUUGAAUUGUAGUUCCCGUAAUCCCUUAAUGUGUCAUGGGAGGGACCUGGUGGGAGACAAUUGAAUCAUGGGGGCAGUUACCCCCAUGCUGCUGUUCUUGUGAUAUGAGUGAGUUCUCAUGUUCUCUGAGGGUUUUAUCAGGGUUUUUUCCCCCAUUUUGCUUGGCACUUCUCCUUGCUGCCACCAUGUGAAGAAGGAUGUAUUGCUUCCCCUUCCACCAUGAUUGUAAGUUUCCUGAGGUCUCACCAGCUGUGCAGAACUGUGACUCAAUUAAACUUCUUUCCUUUAUAAAUUACCCAGUCUAGGAUAUGUUUUUAUUAGCGGCAUGAGAAGGAACUAAUCCAGGAGGUAAGGAAACAAUCCAGGGGGGAAUUUGAAGACAGGUGUUUUCAGUCAGAGAAACCAUGUACAAAGCAUCUAACGUGACAGUGCUAUGGUCUGAAUGUUGACAACCCCCCCAAAUUCAUACGUUGAAGUCUAAUUCCAGUAUGAUACUAUUAAAAGUUAAGGUCUUUGGAAGGUGAUUAUGUCAUGAAUACAGAGCCUUCAUGAAGGAGAUUGGUGCCUUUAUAAAGGAUGCCUGAGGGGAUUGGUUUGUCCCUUCCACCAUAUGAUGACUCCACCAUAUGAAGAAUAAGAUGGGUCUAUGAACUAGGAAAUAGGGCCUCAUCAUAUACGGAAUAUGUCAGCACUUUGAUCUGGGACUUAGCUUCCAGAAUUGUGAAAAAUAAAUUUCUGUCAUUUAUAAGCUACUUAGUCUAUGGUAUUUUGUUAUAGCUGCUCGAAUGGACUAACACAGAGACAAUUCCCAGGCUGCCCAAAGAGCACCAGGAAGUGUUGGGUGCAGUAAAGAUGGAACAGAGGCACAAGGGGAAGAGCAACAGGGCUGUGAUCAAAGAGGUGUGCCUGGUGGGGAGCAUGAGUAGAGCUGUAUAAUCUGUACAAUAAUGACUGAGAGUGGAAUUAGAAGUCCUUAAAAGUGAGUGAGCAGAGUGGCAUGAUCUCUAUGAUAUUAUGUUAUAUUCUUGCUUGGGUAUUGAGAAUAGACUGAAGGUGAGGGCUAAUGCAGAAGCAGGAAGGGGGAUAAAAAUUCAGAUGAGACAUGAUGUUGGCUAGGCCUGGGUGGAUAACAGCAGUAGUAAAAAUUAUUUAAAUGUUUUGAAGGUAGGUUUGCUGAGAAGUAAAGGAUGUGUGGAGAUUAUUGGAUUGAGAAUUGUAUAAGGACUGUAUUGUAUAUUGUAUGAGAUUGUAGAUCCAGGAUGAGUCACAGUAUUUUUGAAGUUGUAGUAAAUGGAAUGAACUAGAAAGAUAGAAGUUAAUGUUCAGAAGGCAGGAAACUUAAAAGUUAGAUUGUAAAAAUUUGCAAUUAGGAGUAAUAACAUGGUUUGAGCUGAGAUCAUGAGAUUGAAUAGCUAGAUACUGAAGAUAGCAAGUACGUUGGAAAUGACGAGGUCAAAUGUCAAAGAAGAUAAGUAAUUUAAAUGAGAUAUCAAAAUAAUGGCAGUAAGUCAGGUUGUAAAGACUUCAAAGAAUGAGGGAAAGUGACUAAACAUUGGGAGAGUGAUCAAUAUAAUCAAAUGGUAUGAGAUUCCAAGCUGGAGGGGUUUGAGGAGAAGGAAGUAGAAGUAUUCUGCAAGAGGACACUUAUUCUACUUCUAGAGGCAGUGGUUAGAGCGCUGAGGGUGAGAACUAGUCUGCACUUGGGGGGCUACAUGAGAAGCAGCAGCAUCAGUGAGAGACAGAUGACAGUAAGAAUGAAAAUGUAAAGGGAAAAUUGAGAAAUUAUAAAAAUGGAGAUUCUUCUGUGUACUGUGUACAUUUCUUACAGAAGCUUUCAACACAUUUAAUUUCAUUUGAAUCUUGCAAUACUCUUGAGAGAUAUUAUCAUUCCCCUUUUACCAAAAAAAGGCUGACUGGCCAAGAUCACAUAAAAUCACAUAAAUAAUAGAAGUCAAAAGUAUGACUUUAACCCAUCUAGUGUUACAAGAACCACAUAAUCUUCAAUAAAUUGAGAGUAUCUUAACUAAUUAAUUAAAUUUUAAAAAUUAAUAAUUUUUUAAAAAGAUGUAUUCAAGUUAUAAAUUCAAAGAGAAAUGAACAUAUUACUUAGAAACAGCCCCGGAUUAGAGUCCCAAUUAUAUCACUUAAUAACUGUGUGGUUUAGGUAAGCCAUGUAAAGUUGCUGUACUACUUAAAUUUAAAAUAAAGACAAUUUUACCUAAGCAUAAAAUUGUUGUUAUGUUAUUGUGCAGUUAUAAAUCACUUAUUAAAUUAUAAAUUUAUGAUAAUUAUUAAAGAGAAUACUUAAUUUUAAGCCAUAAGGUCUUCUAUUAGAAAAAUAUUCAAAUAUAAUGUGAUAUAUCACUCAUUUUUAUAAAUAAAAAUAUAAAAUUAAUUAUAGCCUUAAUAAAAAAUUUUGGAAGUGCAUUACCAAGACUAAAUUUAUAUUUCAUAAAAUGAAUAAAUUUAAGAUGUAUACCUUAACUUUAUGUAUUUCUGCACUCAUAUUCACACCAGCCAUGUUAAGGUAAGGAACAGUUUCACUACCACAGAAAAUGUUCUGGUGCUUUAUUCCAGUCAGUAACAACCACUGGUCAAAUUUGUCUGGAAUCAUACAGAUUUUACACUUUUGUAUCUGACCUAUUUUACUCAACAUGAUGUUUUGGAGAUUUAUCUAUGCUGUUUUAUGUGUCAAUAUUUUAUUUUCUAUUGCUAUGUAUUAUUACUCUGUAAGUCAAUAUUAUAAUUUGUUUAUCUCUUCUCCACUUUAUAGAUGUUCCAUCCAGUUUUUGCCUACAAAAAAAACCUGCCAUGAAUAAUUUUAUAUCUGUCUCUAUUGUGUGAAUACACACCCUCAUUUAUUUUUGGUAUAUACCUAUAAAUUGAAUCACGAUGUCAUUGGGUAUUUGUGCAGUUUAACUUUAUAAGAAAUUGCCAAACUUCUUUAAAAUAUAGCUGUAAAUUUACUCUCCCACCACGAAUGUAUGAGAUUUUCUUUGUUUCAUAGCCUUUUCAACACUUGCUAUAUUCAGUCCCCAAUUUUUUUUCUUAAGAGAUGGGGUCUUGCUCCAUCACACAGGCUGGAGUGGAGUGGCACAAUCAUAGCUCACUGCAGCCUUGAACUCCUGGGCUCAAGCUAUCCUCCCAUAUCGGUCUCCAGGUAUUUAGCCAUUUUAAUUUUACCAGUUCUCUUGGAUAUGUAAUGACAUCUCAUUGAGGUUUUUAUUUUCAUUUUUUCUGAUGACCAACUAUGUUCAGCACAUUUUCUUUUCCUGAUUCCCCAUUUGGCUGUCUUCUUUUAUGAACUGACCGUUCAAGUCUUUUGCCCACUUCUAAUUGAGUGAUGUAUCUUCUGCAUAACAAUUUGUAGGAUUUAUUUACUUUCCAUAGAAAUAUUUUGUCAGGUCUGUGUAUUUCAAAUGUGUUAUCUCACUGUGACAUUUCUAUUCAUUUUUCAUUGAGGUAAAAACAUAACUUGUGAUCUAUCCUCUUAGUAAGGUUUUAAAUGUACACUAUAGCACCGUUAAGUAUAGGCGUGAUGUUGCACAGAAAAUCUUUAGAACUUACGCAACUUACACAACUGAAACUUUAUACCUGUUGAACAGCAACCCUUCUUCCUCCUUCCCCUAACCAUUCUAUUCUCUAUUUCUAUGAGUUUGACUAUUUUAGAAAGCUCAUAUGUGUGAAAUCAUGCAGAAUUUAUCCUUCUGUGACUGGCUUAUCACGCUUAGCAUGAUAUCCUCCAGGUUCAUUCAUGUUCUUGCAGAUGGCAGAAUGUCCUUGCUUCUUAAAGCUGAAAAUAUUCCAUUGUAUUUAUACGCCACAUUUUCUUUAUUCAUUUAUGUGCUGAUGGACAUUUAAGUUUUCAGAUUUUGUUGUUUUGUGAGUAAUGCUGCAAAGAACAUGGGUAUGCAGGUAACUCUACCACAUCCUGAUUUCCAUUCUUUUGGAAUGGAAAUUCCAAAUUACCCCUCCUAAUAAGUGGUAAGUGAUAUCAUAUUUUGGUUUUUAUUUGUAUCUCUUUGAUCAUUAGUGACGUUGAACAUCUUUUCAUAUACCUUUUGGCUAUUUGUAUGUCUUUGAAGAAAAUUUAUUCAAUCAUUUUGCCUCCCUUUUUAAGUUAUUUUUUUCUGUUGUUAGGAGUUCCUUAUAUAUGUAAUGAGGUUUUUUUGAAUAAAUGAAUAUAAGUUUAAUAUAGUAAAAACAUUAACAAUUUUUAUUUUUAUGUUUAAUACAUUUUGUGCUCUCGAAAAAAAAUCAUUAUUUAUCUCACUCAAGAUCAUUAUGAUGUUCCUCAAAGUAUUCUUCUAGAAGCUUUAGCAUUUAUAUUUGGGUCUGUGAUCCAUCUUACAUUGAAUUUUGUGCAUGAUAUGAGUGAGAUAUUAAGAUUAAUGAAAAUGCUAAUUAUAAUAGAUUCUCAGGUCCUAGCCAAAGCUUUUGUAUAUUGGGAUCUCUUGAGAUCUAGGUUAUUUAAAGGUAAUAGACGAUCAGUAUUAAUGAAUUUGUUUUCUUUUUCCAUCUGGUGGUUCUCAACCUUUGUUCCAUAUUAUCAUCAAGUGGUUUGCUUGCUUGCUUCUUUUUGUCAUUGCUUUUAGUAGCACUGCCUCAAUCCUACCUUCAAAAAUUCUAAUUUGAUAACCUGGACAUCAGGAUUUUUGGGGAGAAGGGGACAGGGUCUCACUUUGUCACCUGGGCUAGUGUACAGUGGCAUGAUCAUAGCUCACUGCAGCCGCAAACUCCUGGGCUUGAGGGAUGCUUCUGCCUCAGCCUCUCGUGUAGCUUGAAUUACAGGCUUGAGCCACCAUGCCUGGUGACAUUGGGAUUGUAAUGGGUCUCCAGGUGAAUCUAAUAUAAAGCCAAGUUUAGGAAUCAUUGACAAGCUCCAAAAGCCUGGAAAAAAUGUAUACAUGAAGAUAGAGGUUAGUGUUACUCUCUCCUUGGAUGAAAACACCUGACAAGUUUUAUUGAUUUAUUGGGAAACAACGCUGGAAGCAGUUUCUCCUCUGCCUCUUUAAUCCCUUGGCCAGUGCAAUCUUGAGUUAAGCAUAGACUCACUAUUAAGUCUUGUAGGGUGAAUACAUCUUUACUUCAACUUUUCAUCCACUUUAUCUUCAUCUCGGAGAAUUAUUGUGAAAAAAAAAGUUCUCAGUGUAUAACUCAUAUUAAGUAAAAGACAUAUAAUAUAUUGUAAUAAUUCAGCAAAUAUUGCUUGUGGUGUUUUACCUACUUUACACUUGUGGAAAGUUUAAGGAAAAAUUUUAAAUAGUCCUACAUUAUUUUCAUAGAAGAAUCACAGUAAAAUAAGAACUUUGCAAGUCCACCAUUUUACUACGUUGCAUUAUUUGAAAAGAAAACUAAUUUUGAAGUGUCUGAUGAUUUCAAAACACAGUUCACUAUUAUUUAAUUAGUGAAAGGAGAUGCAUGCGAGGAUUUGAAAUAGAAUUUUUAACAUUGACUUAGAUACUUUCCCUAAAUGUAUUAGACAUAAAAGUAAAUGGUAUUUAUAUAUUUGUUUGUAAGAUGCUAUAAUUUUAAAUUUAAAUGUCUAUGUAGCUUUUUCUGAAAGAAGCUGUUCUACUAUCAUAGAAGCAAUUUUGGGGCAUUUCUCUUACUUGAUUGACUCUUUUCUUAUCCAGAUGCUACCCAUUUUCAAGAUUGCACAGACUCCACUUCUAUAAGGGAACUCAGCCCACAAGGCUCUCAUGUACGUCAGUAACAUCUAUAUCUUUAUUAUACCACAUAUGCCUUGCCCUAUCAAAUGAAAUUGUAUACCACGAAGUCAGGACCAUAUCUCACCUCCUCUGUAAACUCCACAAUGCACAGCAUAGUGUUACUCAUGGGAAAAAUGAAAUACUUUUGAUUGAAAUGGGUUAACAUUCUUCUCAUGUUAAGGAACAUACUUCUUUAAUUGUACCUGUUGUUAUGCCGGUUGUAAGACUUACUCUUUUCUCCAGAGUUGAUAUCAAUAAUUUCAAAACAUAUAAGAAUUGAAGAUAAAUGGGGAAACAAACAAUUUAUGAAGGUCAAAACUAUGAAGUAAAUUUCAGUUCAUGGUUAUUUGGUAGAAAAACUAGGUUGGAGAGUAUGGUUCACAUUUGAGACCAAAUUAAAUAUUAUUUAAUAGAUUUCUUUCACACUUAGUUGAAGGAAAGCAUGCAGUAAAAAUUUAGCUUGACCAAAAACCUGACUUGCUCUUGGCAAAAAUUGUGGUGGAGAGAGAGAGAGAGAGAGAGAGAAUGAAUAACCUCUACCCUGUGGGAGGGUCUUUCCAUUCCAAAUGGCACAAGUAGAGAAUCUGAUGAAUCCGAGCCUAGGAAAGUCAAAAAGGAAGCAGACUGGCAUCCAGUCAUUGAAGACAAUAAACCUGAACACUAAGAAGACAUGAUUAAAUAAAUGUCAGGUUCUGAACAAUUAAACUGGUUACUUCUGUUACAUUGAAGUAAAGAGAGAAUACCUUGGAGUCUAACAUAGUUUUCCAAAUAAAAAGAUAAUGAGGCAGAAGAUGACACUUUGUUUACUAAAUUUUCUAGUUCAUACUGAAUAGUUUAAGUAGAACUUGAAAGCCAAGGUCUCAGGGAACCAUUUUUAAAGUGCUUUUCAAAGAGCUCAUAUUAAAAUAAUUAUUUUAUAUGUAAAUAACAAAUAAUUAGAUAUGAGGCUCACAAAUGAAAUAUUUAUGUUCAUAUAAUAUGGCUAAUGUAUGGUAACAAUAGUAUUAAAUCUAUAGAUCUAUGAUGGGAGAAUUACUAGAAAAGCAAUAGUAGGUCUCCCAAUCCAUGAGCAUGGAAUGAUUUUCCAUUUGCUUAGAUUAUUAGUUUUCAGCAUACAGUCCUUACACACAUUUUGCUAAAUUUAUUUCCAAGGGUUUAUUUGUAUAGUAUUGUGAAUAUAAUUAUUUUCUUAAUUUUUUUAAGAGAUAAAGUGUCUUUCUCUAUCUACCAGGCUGGAGUGCAGUAACUUGCAAUGAUAGCUCACUGCAACCUCGAACUCCUGGGCUCAAACAAUCCUCUUGCCUCAACGUCCUGAGUACCUAAGACGGAGAGGUGAAUGCCACCAUGCUUGGCUAAUUUAAAAAAAUGAAUAAAUUCAUAGAGAAGAGGAUUUGUCUUUGUUGCCCAGGCUGGAUCUGAACUCCUAGCCUCAAGUAAGCCUCCUGACUUGGCCUCCGAAGGCACUGGGAUUACAGGCCUGAGCUAUUGAGCCCAGCCACUUCCAUUUCCUGAGGGCUUUAUCAAUGUAUUCUUCAUUGUAUUGGCUAUAACUUCCAGUGCAAUAUUGGAUAGAAUUAGUGAGUAAACAUUAUAGACAUCUUUGGCACGUCGCCAAUUUUGAGGGGCAAAUAUCCAAUCUUUCAUCAUUAGAUAUUGCUGUAAAAUGUAGUGUUUUUGGUUGUUGUUGUUGUUGAUGUCCUCUAUCAGGUUGAAGAAUUUCCAUUCUAUUUUUUUUUAUUAAUUCAUGUUAGAUUCUGUCAAAUCCUUUUCCUGCAUCAUUGAGAUAAUCAUUUCAUUUUAGUUCUUUAUUUUAUAACACAGUAUAUUACAUUACAUUUUAUAUUUAAAAUACAAAAACAAUCUUGCAUUUCUGGGAUUAAUUUCACUUAGUCAUGGAGUACAAUCAUUUUUAUAUAUGGUUGAAUUUAGUUUGAUAAUAUUUUAUUGGAGAUUUUUGUGUCUAUAUCUGUGAGGUAUAUUGAUCUGUAAUUUAAUUUUAAUUUUUAUUUUUUAAAUUUCUUUUUCUUUCUUUUUUUAUUUUUGCCUUUGAAUAUAGGCCUUAUAACAUGAAUUGGGAAGUUUCUCUCUUUUUCUAUUUUCUGAGUAUGUGUAUCAUUUCUUCAUUGAAUAUGUGAAAUAACUUACCAGUGAAGUCCUGUAUAUUUCCUUAUGAAAGACUUUUAAUUGCUAAUUCGAUAUAUUUAUUCAGAUUUUCUAUUCAUUUUUGUUUCAGCUGUGGUAAUUUAUAUGUUUUUAAGACUUUCUACCUUAAAUAUAAGUUGUAUAAUUUGUGAUCAAAAGUGUUUCAUAGUAUUUCCCUUAUAAUUAAUAUAUUUGGAUGGGAUGGGGGAGGAUUGGUAGUAGUAACCUUUGUUCCUGAUUUUGGUAGUCAGCACAUUAUCUCUUUUUUCUUUCUUUUUUUUUCUUUUUUGAGACAGAGUUUCGCUGCUGUCAUCCAGGCUGGAGUGCAAUGGCAGGAUCUGGGUUCACUGUAACCUCCACCUCCUGGGUUCAAGUAAUUCUGCCUCAGCCUCCCAAGUAGCUGGGAUUACAAGCACUCGCCACCAUGCCUGGCUAAUUUUUGUAUUUUUAGUAGAGAUGGGGUUUCCGCAUGUUGGCCAGGCUAGUCACAAACUCCUGGCCUCAAGUGAUCCACCCACCUCAGCCUCCCAAAGUGUUGGGAUUACAGGCGUAAGCCACUGUGCCCGGCAUUUUUUAUUAUUCAUCAUCUAAAUAUUUCUCAAUUUUGUUUAUCUUUGCAAAGAUUCAAACUUUGGAUCUUUAAAUUUCUUUAUUGUUUUUUGUUUUAUUUUCUAUUUCAUUGAUUUCUGCUCUAAUCUGUAUUAUUUCUUCGUUUUUCUUGCUUUGUGCUCAGUUUAGUCUUCCUUUUCUAAUUUCUAAGGUUGGGAGAAUGAAUUAUUAAUUUAAGAACUCUCUUUUUAAAAUAACUUUUAAAUUUUGAUAUAAUUGUAGAUUUACUUACAGUUAUAAGAAAUAAUAUAGAGAGAUCUCUUGUAACCUUAUCUCAGUUCUCCCAGUGGUAACAUCUGGCAAAAGUAUAGUACAAUAUCAUAAGCAAUAUGUGGAGAUUGAUAUAGUCAACAUACAGAAUAUUUCCAUUACCAUGGAAUCCCUCAUGUUGUUCUUUCCUAGCCACAUCUAUUUUCCUCUUUCACCUCAUCUUUAACCCUUGAUAACCACUAAUCUUUCCUCCAUUCUCAUAAUUUUAUCACUUCAGUAAUGUUCUACAAGGGAAAUUCUAUAUCAUAUAAUCUUUUGUGGUUAGAUUUAUUUACUCAGCAUAAUUCUCUGAAGAUUUAUGGAGGUUGUUGUCUAUAUCAAUAACUUGUUUCUUUUUGUUGCUAAGUAGUGCUUCAUUGCAUGAAUGUAAUACAUUUUGUUUAAACUUAUUCACUCCUUCAAAAAUGUCUGGGUUGUUUCCAGUUUGGGGUUAUUAAAAAUAAAGCUGUUCUGAAUAUUUGUAUAAAGUUUUUGAAUUAACGUGGUUUUUAAAAAUUACCCUGCUGUAAAUGCCCAGGAGUGAAAUUACUGCAUCAUAAUGUCAUUGCCUGUUAAACUCUUUGUUUGCUUUUUAAAGAAAGUAUCAAAUUGUUAUAGAGAAUGGCUUUGUUAUUUUACAUUCCCAUCAACCAUGCAGCAGUUAUGUAGUUUCUUUGCAGCCUUGCUAGCACUCAGUAUUAUCAUUAUUUUUUAUUGUAACUAUUCCAUUGGGUAUAUAUUGAAAUCCCAUUGGGGUUUUAAUUUUUCAUUCCCUAAUGGCUAAUGAUGUUGACAUCUUUUCAUGCUCUGAUUUUCCAAACAUAUAUUCUUUUCAGUGAAAUGUAUAUUCAUGUCUUUUGCCCACUUUCUAAUUUGACUUUGUUCACUCCUAAGUUUUGAAAGUUCUUUAUAUAUUCUUGCUACUAGUCUUUUUCAGACACAUGGCAAGCAAAAGGGGAAGGAAGCAGCUCUUUUUUACUGUCAAGUUGAGGUGAAGGUCAAGGUUCCCCAUUAGGCCUUCUUUGCCACACAAAAAGUAAAUACUCUUGUGUUUUUAAGGUAAAGUAAUGAAUGCCAAGAAAGACUCAAAUUUUAUUUAUGUACUGAUCAUAAAAAUGAACUAUGAUUUAUAAUUCUUCUCUUCCAUUUUCAUUAUACAUAAAUUAAGAAAACAAAAUACAUCAUGCUCAAUAAUAAGGAUUCUGAGUAGAAACUCACCAGUUCACCUUAGCUAUAUUUUCCCUUUUGGGUUUCUUUUCUUUUACUUUUUUCUCUCUCUCUCCUUUUUCUUUAAAAAUUUUGGAGUGUAAACAUAUACAUCAUCUUAAUUUGAGUCCUUAUGUGUUGACGGUGUGCAGGGAAGAAUGGGAAAGUAACUGUUAAGUGGAGCUCAGAAAGAGCUAACAAAUUCUUGAAAAAGUGAGAUUAUUGCUGGUCUUUCAAUUUUUUUUUUUAACUUUCUGUUUCCUCACACUCUUCCGUACUAAAUGAAUUUUAUAUAUAUAUAUUUUUUUGGUUGUUGUUGUUGUUGUUGUUGUUGUUGUUGUUUUGUGAUACACAGUUUUGCUAUUGUUGCCCAGGCUGGCAUGAUCUUGGCUCACCGCAGCCUCCACCUCCUGAGUUCAAGUGAUUCUCCUACCUCAGCCUCCCAAGUAGCUGGGAUUACAGGCAUGCACCACCGCGCCCGGCUCAUUUUUUGUAUUUUUAGUAGAGACGGGGUUUCUCCAUGGUGGUCAGGCUGUUCGCAAACUCCCGAACUCAGGUGAUAUGCCCGCCUUGGCCUCCCAAAGUGCUGGGAUUACAGGCGUGAGCCACCGUGCCCGGCCGACAGGUGUUUACGAGUUACAGACUAUGUGCUUUGAGAAUGAGGCAACCGAUUUAAGGAUGUAAGCAUAAUUUAAGGAUAUUGAAAAUGAUAUAGGAAUAAACUUGGUUUAGUCAUUCAUGGAUUUAUUCAUUCUUCAGAUGACUAUGUGUGUGAAUAUUUAAGAAUUCUAAAACCACAUGGGGUUACUUAUAACUAUAUAGGAGCCUAACACAAUAAUGGAAUCAGAAUAUACUUUGCUGAAGGGAGGAGGCUUUUAAAUGAAAAUCUUCUCUCUACGUUUUUAUGUUUCUAGCAAGAAUCCACUGAAGACCCACAUUUCCCCGAAGGUUAACAGCCCCCUUCUCAGUUUUUCUGGUAAAGUGUUUUUAUAUUGGUGGAACACCUGUCACACUCUGUAUUUUUCUUAUCUCAAGUAGAAAAAAUUUUGCCCUUUUACUUGGGACUGUUAACAGCCCUGGUAGUGGAAAAGUAGAAGGAAAUGAUUCUGUGAAUUUUCUGUUAUAUAAAUUUUAGCCAAUUUAGGGCUUUUGAAUGAGGGGCCAUACAGCCAAGGAUUUAGGAUUUCAGCUCAGGAAAGAAAACUACAUAGGUGUUUAAUUGUGUCCUAGCCAUUUAUUAGCUGGGUAACUUUGAGCAAGUUUUAUAUAUAUCCUUCCCAUGAGUUUUUCAUUUCUAAUACUGGCUUAGUAAUACAGUAUGUUUCAUAGACUUGCUGUAAUAAUUGAUGGAGUGUAUCUAAUAGUGUUUAUUUUACUGUAACUGGGCCACAGUUUGGAAGUACUCAAUUAAAAUUAGCUGUCAUUAUUCCUAGUAUUAAUAUGGUGAUGAACAGCUAAAGAGCAUUUAAAUAAUUAUCAUUAAUAUGGAUAAAUUUUGAGUAUACCUGAAUAAAUAUUUAUAAUAUAACUGUUGAGAAUAUACAAGUUUAAUAUUUUAGGGAAAUACAAUGUCAAAUUCUAUGAAGCUCUAUUCUCACACUAAAACAAUAACAGUUUGCUUUCAGAUAUUUUGAAUAUUAUUGUGACAUUUCCCCCUUCUACCUUUCUGGGACCUCGGAUAUAGGAACCAUGUAAGGGUAAAUAUUCUAGGUCUUCGUUUUGGGACAGGGGUGAUAUACUACAGUUCCACAGGGGCUGAGCCAGGUUUCAAGGUUGAGAGAGCUGAUGGUAAAAAUAACAAUGAGAGCAAAGGCCAAAAUGUAUGGAAUAUUUAUUAUGUGUCAGACAUUUUUCACUAAGCAUUCUAGUACAAUAUUUCUUCAGAUCUAUGAGGAUCUUAAUCUUAAGUAGUAAAUGGUUUUAUUAUAACCACUAUACAAAAUAGAAACACUAACAUAAAAAGGUUAAAUAAUCUGUUUAAAUUAUCUUGGAUUAGGAACCCAAUUAGCUGUGUCCUUAGAACAGAAGCUGGUAGCACUACACUGAACUAUACCACACUUGCAAGCCUUCAGAGGAAAAUUCCCUAAGAGAAAAUGGUAUCUAUGACUCAAUAUUUCUUCCCAUACCCUCAGUGACUUACGGUAUUUAUUUACUAAAUGCCAAAGCAGAUAGUCCAAUAGGAAAUAUGUAGCUAAAUGGCCUGGGAAGAGAAGGGAAUGUCAAAUAACAGGCAAAAUAGAAUCUGACACCCUAGGUCUCAGCAAGUGUUUUGAAUGGACAAUAAAGAAAGUGACUAGAAUAUAACCUCUGAAAAAAUGUUGUGAAGCACCAAUGGACUUGAAAAAAUCUAGGGAGCUGAUGUAAAGGACAUCCACUUCAUACUGACAAUUGUUGAACAAAUUACUUGUUGGAGAUGGAGUUGCAGACAAAACAGAUAUUUACCACUGCUUUAAAAUAUGUUUAUUUACUCAGGAGAAGAGUCUGGAACUGUGGUUUCAGAACGAGCUUAUCCAACAGUAAGAAGAGGACUGGGGCAUACCUUUUAAAAUAAUAAUGAUAUAUUUAUAUCCUAGUGUGAUUUAUUUACCUUUUAGUAAAUCAAGUUCUCAGAAAAAUAAAGUAAAAAAAUCUUAACAUUACAUAUGCAGGACUUAAUCUGAAUAAUCAUAAAUUUUCAUAAACAUAAUUUACAUACCACACCAUAGUAGCUGUGAUAUAGUAAAUUCAUAAGUUUUCUGACUAUGGUUUAGCUCUUUCAUUCUAAGAAUAAAAAAGAUUCUAUUAUGUCACAAGACAUGUAUCUGGAUGGUUAAAAAAAUCCAAUCAUACAUAACUGAAGAAAAUAUAGGUAUUUUAGUGGAAUAAGAAUGUGAUAUACAAAAACAGAAAAAUAAAUAACUUCAAUGUUACUUAAAGAAAUAGAACUAACAAAGAUGCAUCAUGGAAGAGAGGAUAGUUCUCUAAAAACACAUAAAAUAACUUUCUAAGAUGAAAAUUUUACAUAUAUAAAAGCAUUUGUCAAUGAAAGUAAUAAUAAUUCCAUUCAUGCAUUUGUUCAUGUAUAACCAAUAACUUUCUUGUGAUGUCAUAGAAAAAAUUCAAGCAUCAAAUCAAAAAGCAAAUUUUAUUACGUAAGAAACAGUGGCCUUUAAACUGACAAUAUAUUUGUUUGAAUAAAAAAUAUUAUUACUUUAAAAUAAUCAAAUUAGCAAAAUACAUGAACAUCUUAAUUUUUGGUAUGUGUUUAAAUAUCAGGACAUUUACUCAUAUUCUUCAUAAACAGAGUCAUAAGUCUUAGUAGAUGCUGCCAUGUGUAGGCAGGUUGUCUUCUCUAAUUAUCCUCAGUCCCCACCAUUCCAUAGUGUCCCCAGUAGAGAUACUACUGACAUUUUUCAUUUGUUGCCAUAAUUCAGCUGUUGUUUUUCAUAGUCAGCUUGCCUUCUUUAUUUUAAUAUUUAUAUACCAUGUAGGCAUCUCAGUGUUUCACUCUUGCUGUGAGACAGCCAUAGAUCCCUUUUGACCUAGAGUUUUUUAUUCUUUCUUUUUCAAAAUUAUUUUCCCUAAAAGAAUGGAACCUAUAAGCCUCCAAAUAGUGCAUUUAAACUCAAUCACAUCUAGAAAACAAUGCUAAACUAUUCAGAAAGAAUGAAGAGAAUAAGUGAAUUCUCCAAACCCAGAGCUAAUGAGUGCCAGCUCUGAAAAUGAAGUCCUUGAUUCUUGACAUCUGGCCUAGUGUGCCUAGGAAGUAUAAUCGGUUACUCUGACUCAGUCAUUUUAAUAAUUGAAGUAAACUACUUAACAGUUAAACAUUAUAUACUUAAAAUACUUAAAUUAGCUUAGAUAUAAUCAAAGAAUUUCGCUUUUUAAUUCCAAAUAAUGAAGUGUUUGGUUGUAGGGUAUUAGAUCUUUCAUGGAAGAAAGUAGUCCCACAAGUCUAAGUACAAAUUUCAAAUGUAAAAUAAAACUGAUCAAGCCAGAGACCAGGUUUGGCAAAAAGUAUCACAUGAUAUGACUUGUAAAAUGUCAAUUAUUGUGAACAGUUUUAAAAAGACCUCAUCAGACCGUAUUGCAUGUACUCGUAAAGGGGAAAAGAAGUAAAUAUCAGCAUGUAUUGAAUACUUUAUACCCAUUAUACAUCGGGCUUUUUAGAUUCAUUCUACCAUUUAAUUUUCAUGGACAUGCUGGGGAUAGGGUAUUGUUAUCAUCCCUAUUCUUUAGUGAGAACUAAGAUUUACCAAAAAAAAAGUAAAUUUUCCAAAAUUAAUUACUAAUAAUGUGUACACAGACCAUUUCCAAAUUCAUGAGAUAAUUGCAGUUUUAGUUACUUUAGGCUGUUAAAACAAAUUACCGUAGACUGGGUGACUUAAUCAGAAAACGCUUGUUCUCACAGUUCCAGAGGCUGGAAAAUUUAAGAUAAAGGUGCUUGCACAUCCAGUGACUGAUGAGGGCCUAUUUCUUUGUUUGCACGUGGCCAUUUUCUCAUUAUAUACUGACAUGGCAGAGACUGAGAAAGAGAAAGAGAUUAUCUCUUUGGUGUCUCUUCCUAUAAGAGUAUUAAUCUCAUUCACCAACUAAUUACCCCCCAAGGGCCCACCACUGAAUACUAUCACACUGGGAACUAGGGUUUCACCAUAUGAAUUUUGAAGGUACAUAGACAUUCAGUUUUAGCAAUUGCUAACAAUAUUACUCUUACACAACCAUUUUUCUCACCUAAAUAUUUUCAAUCAAUUAUUUAAUAAAUGGAAGCAGUGGGAUUACCUUGUCAUGACCAUAAGAAUUUAUCUGGGAGAUGUGUAUGUAUGUGUGUAUGUUUAUCAUGGGGAGAAGUUUGUGAGUAGAAGCAAUGGAUUGAGAAUCUGGAUAAUAAGAAAAUAUUCUAUUGAUCCUGGUGAUUUGAAUGUAAGAUAGGAGCUGGUCGUCAACUGAUUUAAUCAGUGGGUAUUUCAGUAUGAGGCAUACUUGGUGACUAAGCUUUCAUGUGGUAAUCUGAGGUGAAUAUUGACAUAGAAUUAGAAUUAUAACUCACAUAAAUUCACACAAAAACAUUUUUACAUUGCCUACUGAUUUUUAUACAUAUAACCAAGAAAUAAAGUAUAUGGUGGCUACCUUUCUCUAGGGAUUUAUAGGGUAAUUAGACAAACUCUUCCAAUAAUUAUAAAAAUAAGAACUGAAAUAACAAGUGCAUAUUCUGAAUUACAAAAAUCAUUCAAAGUAACAAAAAGCUUAUAUCUUUGAUCCCAAUAACCUAUUUUAAUUUUCUUUUUAAAAUAAAAAUGUUAGAGGCAAAACAAAAGUGCCAUAACUAAACCAAGUACAGACAAAGGAAAUAGGAAUGAGAAACAGUGUAUGUGUGUUUGUAUGUGUGGGCAUGCCUAUAGGUAUAGUUGUGUGUGAAUUAAAGUGAACACACUUGUUAAUUGAAUAAAAUACAGUAAGUGUUUGUAUAUGUAUCUGCAUGUUUGUGUUGUAUUUUGGAGUUGUUAUUCAGCUUUUACAGAAUGUUCAAAUAGAAAACCAAAUAGGAUUGUCACCUAUAUUGCAUAAAUAACCAGAGAAAAGUCACUUAAGUGGCCAUAAAAGAAAUGUUGAAAAUAAAUGCAGAGAAUUAUAUUUAGAGUAAGAAUACCCACAUGUAUUACAGUCCCCAAAAAGCAAUUAAGCAGAAGAAAUUGCUUUUAGAGCUUGGAAAGAUUUAAAGUGUUACCAUUAAAGUUUGAGUUGGGUGUUACUCCAUGAAGAGAAUAUAUCCUUAAACACUGCUGCCCUGUGCAGAACAUACUCACUUUGUGGACAAAGACAUAAAGGCCCUGAUACUGGACCUGUUGCUGGUUAGAAAUGUCUUCCCAUGACAAAUGGGAUCUAAUUAAACUAAAAGGCUUCUGCACAGCAAAAGAAACUACCAUCAGAGUGAACAGGCAACCUACAGAAUGGGAGAAAAAUUUUGCGAUCUAUCCAUCUGACAAAGGACUAAUAUCCAGAGUUUACAAAGAAUUUAAACAAAUUCACAAGAGAAAAACAACCCCAUCAAAAAGUGGGCGAAGGAAAUGAAUAGACACUUUUCAAAAGAAGGCAUUUAUGUGGCCAAAAACAUAUGAAAAAAGCUCAUCAUUACAGAAAUGGUCAUUACAGAAAUGCAAAUCAAAACCACAAUGAGAUACCAUCUCGGGCCAGUUAGAAUGGUGAUCAUUAAAAAGUCAGGAAACAACAGAUGCUGGAGAGGAUGUGGAGAAAUAGGAACACUUUUACACUGUUGGUGGGAGUGUAAAUUAGUUCAGCCAUUGUGGAAGACAGUGUGGUGAUUCCUCAAGGAUCUAGAACUAGAAAUACCAUUUGCCCCAGUAAUCCAAUUACUGGGUAUAUACCCAAAGGAUUAUAAAUCAUCUACUAUAAAGACAUAUGCACACAUAUGUUUAUUGCAGCACUAUUCACAACAGCAAAGACUUGGGACCAACCCAAAUGUCCAUCAAUGAUAGACUGGGUAAAGAAAAUGUGGCACAUAUACACCAUGGAAUGCUAUGCAGCCAUAUAAAAGAAUGAGUUCGUUAUUUGCAGGGACAUGGAUGAAGCUGGAAACCAUCAUUCUCAGCAAACUAACACAGGAACAGAAAACCAAACACCACAUGUUCUCACUCAGAAGUGGGAGUUGAACAAUGACAACAUAUGGGCACAUGGAGGGAAACAUCACACACUGGGGCCUGUCGGGGGGUGGGGGGCAAGGGUAGGGAUAGCAUUAAGAGAAAUACCUAAUGUAGAUGACAGGUUGAUGGGCAGCAAACCACCAUGGUACACAUAUACCUAUACAAUAAGCCUGCACCUUCUACACAUGUAUAACUUAAGUAUCAUAGAAAGAAAUGUCUUCGUUAAUAAUAUUUCUCACCUUUUCUAGAUAUAAAUUUAAUUCACAAUUGGGCAGGGCAUGGUGCCUCACACCUAUAAUCCAAGCACUUUGGGAGGCUGAGGCAGGCGGAUCACCUGAGGUUAGGAGUUCAAGACCAGCCUGGGCAACAUUGUGAAACCCCAUCUCUACUAAAAAUACAAAAAUUACUACUUGGGAGGCUGAGAUAGGAGAGUCGCUUGAACCCAGGAGGCAGAGGUUUCAGUGAGCCAAGAUCGCGCCACCACACUCCAGCCUGGGCAAUAGAGCGAUGCUCCAUCUUAAAAAAAAAAAAAAAUCAAAAUAAAAUAAAAUAAAAAAUAAAAAUAAAAUUUAAUUCACAGUUGUAACCAGCCUAAAUUAAAAAUAUUUCUUAAGCAAAAGAUUGAGACUUUAUGUUUUAGAUAAUUGUGUUUUUAUGACAGAAUACCUACACACACAAACAAACAAACUAAAGAACUUUUUCUGUUAUAUACCAAAUCAUACUUUUAUUAGUGUGGUUAAUUUUAUCUUUCUCUCUGUGUGUUUCUCUCUCUCAUCAAUUUAUUUAUUAUCUAUCUCUUAAUCAAUCCAUCCAUUCAUCCUUCCAUUCAAUCUUCUAUUACUUUUAAUAUUUUUAAAUAAACUGCCUUGUUGUUGUGAUUUGUAUUAAUGUAGACUGGCAGAGCAUGAUAUGACAGACUUUUAUUUGCAUGGAAUCUCCUGAAAUCAGCUAAUAAUUCACUAUGGACUCUAUUUACUCAGAUUAAUAACUGUGCAGAAAUGUCAUUAUCUGAAGAGCACAAAUCUGGGGACAGACAGAAUUUUAGUCAUGGGCUCUGUCAUUGACUGACUGUGUGAUUUUGGUUGCUUAAAUAAUCUAGACUCUAGUCUCCUCAAUUAUAAGACAGGAAUAAUAAUGGACUUAACUUUAUUAUAUGUUAAGCAACAUAAAUUGCUUCGGGUAUUCAAAAAAGAUAAUUAAUGCUGUGGAUUAGGAAUCUGAAAUAGAAGCUUGAAUUCCCAGGAGCGAAACAAAUUUAGCAAUACUUGCACGACUAUUGGAGAACCAGGCCACUUAACAGGUAUACAUAUGCCCCUCUGGCUACCUCCUAGAUAUUUUCUGCCACAUCAGCAGUAGGCAGAGGACCAGUUGGCUUAGUGUCUAUAUUGUUUACAUGUGGCAGCUCAAACAAUGUGAUAUGAAUAUGAACUAAGGAGGGAGACACUUCACACUUAACAUCUGUUCUUCAGUUUCCCCAACAGGAUUCCUCCAAAUGUGAAAGGAAACUCAUCAAUAACAAGCUGAGAAAUGAGUCUAAACAACUGACAUUUUGGAAUAACAUAUUUGACAUUUGUGAGGUCCACCGGUUGUGGCUUAAUCAAGAAAGCCAUCAGAUAUCCACAGUAUCCAUCUUUUAGGCAUACACAUCUAAAAAACACAUCCAUUUGUCUUAAUUUAAAUCCAUAUUUUAACUUUCAAAAUAUUAUUUCAUGGAUAUUUUGCCACACAAUUAUGCUAGUUUUUACUAUUUUCUCCCCUAAUGUGUAAAAGAACAAGAGAAUACAAAUUCCUUGGCAUGUCAGUUAUUUAGUCAUUUCAGAUUUUGAUAUUUCCAGAAGUCAUAAGAGGAUUCUUCUCUCACAGAUGUAAUUAUAAAACACAUUUGAUUUACCAACUUUUAGUCUUCUGUUUUCUACAAAUUAGCUGUCUUGUGCAAAUGGAGAAAUAGCAUAUGUAUUUGGUACUAAGUUUCUCUCGUAGUUGUCAGAACCUCACCAGGUCUGAUUUUAUUGUUUUGUAAGAACUGGGCUUUAAAAAAAGUCAGACCAUAUGAUAAUUUUGAUAUUAAAACUCUUCUGAAAGACUAAGUGAAUGAACUAGUCAUCUAUAUUCACUGAUUAAAAACAAAAUAAGACAAACUUACUCCAUAGUAUAGUACUUUGGGUUUGUCUAAUUAAAAAAAAUUCAUUUACAAAUACCAUUUCUGAGGAACAAUAGCAUUUCUCUAGGAUACAUCUACAUACAUGCAAGUGAAGAAAAUAGCUUUUGUGUUUACUUUAUGUCUUGUAGGAGUUGUAUAGCUACAUAAGAGUAUUGUAAUGCAAGAGGUACAUCAUAAAAACUGCUUUGUUAUAUGUUGUGUGCAUGUAUAUUUGUGCAUUUACAUAUCAACAGCAUACUCACUGUUGUUCAGUAGCAUAUUUUGUGAUGAAUGAUGAAACCAGUACAAAUUAAAUGUGAAUUUGACUUAUGAACUCUUCACAUCCACUACCUCAUAAACAUUACAAGCUAGAGAAUGUAGGGAUUUGAAUCCACAAACCACAGAUGUCAAGAUUAAUACAUUACGUUUUGAUUACUUGAAACUGCCUGUACAAUUGAAUUUACAGUUGUUUUUUAAAAAAGAAAAUAGAACUGAGAAGAAGUGCUACAACAAUCAUACUUUGUGAUUUAAAAGAAAAUAAAUACUACUAGUUCAUGCCCAGAAAAACAAAAACAAAAACAAAACAAAAAACUAUGGGAAUUUUAUUACCCUUAUCUAUACUCUCCCACCUGCAAGAAAAAAUUCCUCUCCUCACAAUGAAUAACACUAGGUAGAGGAAAUAUCUCUGCUUAGGUUUAGAAGGAAGAGAAAAAAAAACAUUGUGAAACAUUAGUAUGUAAAUAAGAAUCUGAAGGCAAAGGCAAUGUGGAGAAUAGGGCAUGAUUUCACCUCUGGGAGGGAGAUGUAGCCUGGCAGGCUCACAGCGACUUUUUCACAGUCAGAGCCACCUACCCAAAGGUAGAAACCAAAGCAAGUGUAAAUCAGAAAAAUAAUCCUCAGUAUAUUACAUUUAAUGUCAAAACAUACUUUGUAGAAUAUAUGAACUGCAGUCUUAUUUUGAGAGCUAAUCUAGAAUUAUGAUUAUAUUUGGAAGCCUGAUUCUGUUUGCCUCAUUUGGUCCAUUUGGUUGUACAUUAAGGCUUGAACAGAAGGUUUGUGCUAUAAAGCUGUCUUUAAAUAGGCUCCAUGACAUUUAAAGUUAUCUGCUCGGAAAUAAUCAACUUUUUCAAAUUCAUAAUAGCCUUGCUUUGGGGAAAUUAGUUUCAAUUUGAUGAGCAAAUGGAUCACUAAGGAUCACUGAGGUGGGGAGUAGUGAUGGGAAGCAGUCAUAGAAACCACUAGUUAACAUAUGUCACGGCUAAUAAUAUCAGGUAUUUUGAUGCUAGUGUCAAUGAGAUCGAGCAUGCCAGUUAAUUUCAAAGAAAAUAAACAACAACAAACACUUUGA